CCCCCCCCUUUACUCUGGGUUGUGAACCCCCCUUUUUAAAAUGGCUGGAUCCGCCCCUGAACCACUAGACUAUACCGUAUUAAUGCGACCCAACCACUACGACUAUUCUACGGUUAUGCUUAGCAGUUCCGAAGACCGUAUCCUUUACAAAAGUCGAUUCUAGUACGAUCAAGCCCGGUGUCCUCAUCACGCUAUUCUUAAGACCUGACUACGAUCAUAUUACUACGACGAUUUCCAGCUCUAUAGUCGUUCUCAUUGUCAUUUUCACAUAAAGGUAUAAAAGCUCUCUAGGUUUUGUAUGUAUGUAUUUUGGACCUCAUGUCUCUUUUUUCCAACGGGCCCAACCAUGAAUGACACAUUUCAUUGUGUCAUUUCCACUAUCUUUCAUUUAAGAAUUGAAUGCUCUUUUUUGUAAAUUUAUUGGGGUGUAAAAGCGUUGACCGAAGUACAUUUUGUAUGAAGCGCGGAAGCGCUUCAUACUUAAAAUGUGCACACGGUCAACGCUUUUACAACCCUAUAAAGUUACAAAAAAAGCAUUCAAUACUUAUAAUUACAUUUUUACCUAUAGGAUCAUGAAAACACGCCUUUUAUCAAGUUUUUAUUUCAUUUACCUGUGCACUUUAUUGUGGGACCUCGUGUCAUCAUGAAUGAGAAGUUUUAAUGAGUGAUACAACAGCUUAAGGAAUAACACAUGAUGUGCCGUUAGCCAAUCAGAAUAACGUAUAGUAAUGAAACAUACAUCUAAUGUAAUUAUUAAAACAUCGUUAUUUGAUCUACAUUGACCAGCAAUAUGUUGUGAUUCAGGUUGGAUUGGUCGGUCCAACAUUUUUACUGGAUCAGGAUAACGCCCGAGGACCUCUGUCUCUACCACUAUAUAUAUUACUACUACUUCUACUAGUAUGUUUUUGUUCCAAUGAAACAGAAAAACGAUAAAAUUAUUGAAAUCAAUACAAAACGAAAAAAAUACCGGAUUUUGGUUGAAAAAAGGGGGGCCUGUCCACAAGAACUUAUGCGCAGAAUAAAGGUGGUGAGAAGAGAACGUGGUAUAAUCGUAGCAGGAUCGUUGUAUAGAAGCGUAAUGAGGACGUUGUAGCAGAAAAAAAACAUGAAAAUAACGAAUUUUCCGUGACAUUUUAUGCCACUUAUACCACGACCUCAACACGAUUUGAAUUUAUUUUAGAUCGCCGUGAGCGUUGUGCGAUCGUGGUCUAGUGUGCCGAGGGUAUUCUCAAUAUCCGCCCGACAUUUAUUAAAAAAAGGGAACUAACAGCUAGGAAAUUUAAGAGUAACUCAAAACGAUUUUAAGGUGGUAUGGGUGUCUUCCUCCAUCUUGGAUCGUAAAAAAACAGAGAACCAAAGGUCCAGACUUUCUAUUAAGUCAGCAAAAUUUGAUGCAGGAAUGCAGAUAUUUAAUGUGAAUUUUCAUUUUAUGUCCGUUAUGUAAUGAACAAAUAAAACGGACUUGUAGUAUGCCGAGAAAUGGUAGGGGUUGAAAAGAAUUAGAAAACAAAUAUCAGAAUAAAAAGCCAAUAACUUUGCCUGAUCAUGAUUUAGAAGAUCAUAUAAAAAAGAAGAUGUGGUAUGAUUGCUAAUGAGAUAACUCUCCACAUGAGACCAACAUGACACAGAAAUUAACAACUAUAGGUAACCAUACGGCCUUCAUUAAUGAUCAAAGCCCAUACCGCAUACAUGUAGUCAGCUAUAAAAAGCCGUAAAUAUGCAUGAUACUAAAGAAAACCAACAUACCAAUAAUUUUUUUUUCCUGACGCGAUUUUCAAUUGGUGUGUAUCCGUUUUAUAAUCAAUUAUCGUUCUGUUAUCCUUCUGUUCAUGUCCGUCUCGCAUCCGUUUUAUGCUUUAUAUGUCCGGUAAAGAUCGUUAGUGAACCUGUCUACCGGACCUCCAACGGAUGUUUAACGGACGAGUAACAGAUACAAAACGAACACAGAACGGACGAGUAUUGUAAACAAAAAACAGACGCCUACUGGACACUUCAUCCGUUGAACGUCCGUUCAAAGGUUUUUAACAUGCUAAAAUUUUUCCAACGGAC
rnacentral:lncRNA from 1 species